AUGACCCUGUGCCACUUCUGGAAUGGUUCACCCUGGCCUACUUCCUCUACUUCAUCACCUACAAGCACUGUGGCCUGAGUGCAAUGCCUUCUGGAAGUGCGUGCAGGCCAGGGUCACCUACCUCUUCAUGCAGCUGUGCAAGAUGCUAUUCCUGGCCUUGUUUUUCCCCACCUGGGAAGGUGGCAUCCCUGACUUCUUUGGGGUGUCAUGAAGGUCAACAUGGAUGUGGCAGGCCUGUUAGGCCUAAACCUUGUCAUGUCCUGGAAUGUAUGCAAGGGGGAAUACAAGAUCAUGUUACUGCCCUAGGCUGGGCCAUGGCCAUGCUCAUUAUGUCCCACUGCAUCCCAUCUGAGUUGGAGCCCAGGGCAUGGAGUUUGACUGGAAGGACAUCCAGAAGACCAUGGACUCCAACAUCAGUCUGGUCCAUUACAUCAUCUCAUCUGCCCAGGUCUGGAUGAUAACACGCUACCACCCAUACCUCACUUUUCAGCCAUCGGUACUCCUACUGAUGCUCCUUAGCAUCUGUGAGGCCUUUGUCAUGGAGACCUUUGUCCAUCUCUGUUCCCUGGGCAGCUGGACAGCACUCUAUGGCCCUGUAUGUCACCGUUGUCAACAUGCAGUCCUAGACUUGGUGUCCCAAACAUUCACACACCCUUUCCCUGCCUCCAGGCUUCAGUGAAGUAAACAGUAUUUGGAAAGUAAAAAAUAAAUAAGUAAAUAUACAUAUACACACAUGAAAGCCAAGUUUCUUGAUGUAAAAGAAUUUUCUAAAUGCGUAAA